UGUGGAGGGCUGUGCGCUCAGCGUGGAAUUAUAGCAGUUCAUUUUCUAAAGUGCCACGAGACCUGGGGAUGAACCUUCCGAGAGAAGGGAAAACCACAACAGCAGUCCCCUCGUAGAGAUGCAAUUCAUCAUGGGCAGGACGGCUGGGUCUGUCAACAGGAAGGGCUCUUUUCCCUGUGACGCACAAAAGCAAUCCCACGGGCUCUGUGUUGCAGCAAGAGGACCCUGAACUCCCUCAGACACCCUGGCUGUGUGCAGGGAGCCUCCGAAAUCCAGAGACGGGAGGCAUGCAUCGCCAUCGUUUCCUGUCCAAAACAAGCACUGGGGAUUCUGAGGAACCUCUGAGGAGCACCCUGCCUUUACUUGCAGUUCUUCCAGAGAGAUGUUGGAGCUGACAACUGGAGACAAUAUGGCUUGGUGACAACAUCAUAAAAGGUAU
rnacentral:lncRNA from 1 species